GGGGCCGUAGUCCAGUUUGGAAGGACGUCGCCCUCGGGCGGCGAAGGCCGUGGGUUCAAAUCCCACCGGCCCCA
rnacentral:tRNA from 1 species